CCUAGUGGCAAUAGCGCGGUGGUCCCACCUGACCCCAUGCCGAACUCAGUAGUGAAACGCCGUAGCGCCGAUGGUAGUGUGGG
rnacentral:rRNA from 1 species